UCUGGAGGCGACUAGCCACUGUGGAAGAGAGGAAGAAAAUAGUUGCAUCGUCACAUGAUCACGGAUACACGACUCUAGCCACCAGUGUGACCCUGUUAAAAGCCUCGGAAGUGGAAGAGAUUCUGGAUGGCAACGAUGAGAAGUACAAGGCUGUGUCCAUCAGCACAGAGCCCCCCACCUACCUCAGGGAACAGAAGGCCAAGAGGAACAGCCACUUUGAUGACCAUGACCCAGCUGUGAUC
rnacentral:lncRNA from 1 species